rnacentral:rRNA from 1 species
GACGAACGCUGGCGGCGUGCUUAACACAUGCAAGUCGAACGGAAAGGCCUGCUUUCCCUUGUGGAUUGCGGGUACUCGAGUGGCGAAAGGGUGAGUAAAACGUGAGUGAUCUGUCCCCAACUUUGGUAUAAGCCUGGGAAACUGGGUCUAAUUCCCGAUAGGACUGCAGGGUGGUGCCUGUGGUGGCAAACGAUUGUCUAGUGGUUGGGGAUGAGCUGGCGGCCUAUCAGCUUGUUGGUGGGGUAAUGGCUUACGAAGGGGGCGACGGGUAGCCGGCCAGGGGUGGUGGGCCGGCACGUUUGGACGGGCAUACUGGGCAGGCGCCAACGGGCAGCAGCCGGGGGGAGGAAUGCACGGUGGGCGGAGGCCUGAUGCAGCGACGCUGCGUGGGGGAUGACGGCCGUCGGGUGGUAAACUUCUUUCGGUCGCGAGCAAGCCACCUGGUUGGAAGGGUAGUGACGGUAGUGGUAGAAGAAGCACCGGCUAACUACGUG